AUUGAACGCUGGCGGCAUGCUUUACACAUGCAAGUCGAACGGUAACAGGCCGCAAGGUGCUGACGAGUGGCGAACGGGUGAGUAAUGCAUCGGAACGUGCCCAGUCGUGGGGGAUAACUACUCGAAAGAGUAGCUAAUACCGCAUACGGUCUAUGGAUGAAAGCGGGGGACCGUAAGGCCUCGCGCGAUUGGAGCGGCCGAUGUCAGAUUAGGUAGUUGGUGGGGUAAAGGCUCACCAAGCCAACGAUCUGUAGCUGGUCUGAGAGGACAACCAGCCACACUGGGACUGAGACACGGCCCAGACUCCUUCGGGAGGCAGCAGUGGGGAAUUUUGGACAAUGGGCGCAAGCCUGAUCCAGCAAUGCCGCGUGCAGGAAGAAGGCCUUCGGGUUGUAAACUGCUUUUGUACGGAACGAAACGGCUCUGGUUAAUACCCGGGGCUAAUGACGGUACCGUAAGAAUAAGCACCGGCUAACUACGUG
rnacentral:rRNA from 1 species